UCCCUGGUGGCUCAGUGGUAAAGAAUCUGCCUGCAAUGCAGGAAACUCUGGUUCGAUCCUGGGUCGGGAAG
rnacentral:tRNA from 1 species